rnacentral:rRNA from 1 species
UACCUAGUCGAGCGGCGGACGGGUGAGUAACGCGUGGAUAAUCUACCUUUUGGUGGGGGAUAACCCGGGGAAACUCGAGCUAAUACCGCAUGAGAUCGAAAGAUGAAAGGGGCGCAAGUCCCGCCGGAAGAGGAGUCCGCGUCCGAUUAGCUAGUUGGUAGGGUAAUGGCCUACCAAGGCGACGAUCGGUAGCCGGCCUGAGAGGGUGAUCGGCCACACUGGAACUGAGACACGGUCCAG